rnacentral:rRNA from 1 species
UUAAUCAUGUACAGGGAAACCAUUCAGGAAAAAAAUCUUGGCUUACACUUUUAUGAUUGCAUAGUGGAAUGGAAUCUUGACAGGAAAUUGCUUUCACUCAGUUUGGACAAUGCUUCAGCCAAUGAUAAGUGUGUUGAGGGGCUACUAACCAAAUUCAGUAAGAAUAGUCUAAUCUGUGAUGGCAUAUUUUUUCAUGUAAGAUGUUUCAAUCACAUCCUAAACCUGGUCGCUCAAGAUGGUUUGAAGACAAUUGCAGCAUCUAAUGCAAAUAUUAGAAAUACCAUAUCAAUUGUGAGGAAUUCUCCACAGCAGAAGGAAGAGUUUGAGAAGUGUGCUUCAGAAUGU